GCGCCGCGCUUCCCGGGCGGCGCGGGGCGGCGGGAAGGGGCCCGAGGACACCGGGACGGGCAGCACCGGGACGGGCGGCACCGGGACGGGCACCGGGACACCGCUCCUGCCCGCCCCGCCCGGCUCCGAGCGGGCUGAGCGGGCGGCCUGGCCGCCGCCGCGCCUGCCCCGGCGCGCCGCUGCCCCUGCGGUGAGAGGCGGCAGGAGAAGGAGCGGGGGUUUGGAGCCGCUGGGCGCUGAGCCCCAGCGGAGCUCGCACGUUCGCAGCCCUCGCUGUCCCUGCCCGGCAGCACCCCCCACCCUGGAAAUCUCCGUAGCCAUCGAGAAAUGAUCCGUGAUGUUGCAGCACAAGAGUAGCCCUACGUUCAUCCUUGAACACCCGCUCUGCUGGUUCUCCUGACAUUUGUCUUUUUGUUACUUUUUGUCACUAUUUUGUUACAAAAAGUUGACUCUACUACUUUCCGUCAAAAUAGAACAGAAAGCUCGCCAAAAGAGUUAUCGGAGCCAGUGGACAGUCAAAAUAAAAAUGGAUUAUUCAAAGAAGAUAAGGUUCUGGAGAAAAAUUAAAUUAAUAUUUUGCUCUGUGCUCAUUGCAGAGGAACCUAAGAAUAUUCCUGUACUUAUACUUGAUUUUGUGAAAGAUCUAUCAGAGGAUGUGUUUCAAGCUGAAGGUCUCUAGAAAAGGUAGUGAAACAAAUGGCUAAAAUAAAAAGCGUUGAACAAUUGGACUGCAUUAUAUUCAUCCAAGAGUUCUAAGAGAAGUCAAGACUGAAAUAGCUGAGCUGCUUGCUAAUGGUUUAUGUGUAACAUUACAUUUAGAAGGGCUUUGAUAACAGAAUCAGGGAAGAUAGUUAAUAUGUCAAUUUAAAAAAAAAAACCAAACAACAACAACAACAAAAAUACCCAACAGCCUGAAAAGUUCUGUAGAGCUGCUGAGCAGUGAGCCUGUUCUCUGUACCAGCCAAGUUAGUGAAAACCUUAAAGAGAUGAGCUAGUGGGUGCAGGGAGAAAAUGGGGUCCCAUGAGAGAUGGCAGAGCUUUUCUGAUGAGAACUCCUGGCCUCACAAAGUUUGGAGUCCUGGAGUCCCUCAGCAAAGCAUGUGGACAAGAGACAUUCAGCUGGUAUUUCCUAAUUGGGUUUCUAAAAAGUAUUCAACAAAAUCUGUGAGCAAAACCUUCUGAAGGAGCUGUAGAAUAAGAGAAGUUUCAUGUGGAUAGAUGACACUGCAUUAAAGACCGGUCUCUGUAAGAUGGAACCAAAAUAUUUCUCAGUGGAUUGAGUCAGCAUGCAAAGUUCCACAAGGAUCUGAAUUGGAGCCUGUGGACUGAGAGCAAAGGUAGUAAAACAUCACAAUACAAUGUGAGUGGGUGGUACAAUUUGAUGUACAUACAUGUAAAGUGUUUUAAAUGGGAGAUAAUAAAUUUCAGUCACACAGAAACAGCCUAGAAGCUGAAUUAUCACUUGGGAACAAGAUCCUGGCAUAAUAACAGUUCUGUGAAAACCUCAGUUCAAGGCUUGGUAAAUGAGCAAAUCGAGUGUUAGGAGAUAAGGAAUAAGAGCAAGAGACUAAAAGCAGAGAGUGUCAUUGUGGCAUGGGAUAAAUCCAUGGUGUGCCAGUGCUUUGAAUGCUGUGUACAGUUCUGAUCUUUAGAAGGACAGAGAGCAUCUUAAGAGGUUCAGAUGAGCACAUAAAUGUUAGGAAGUCUGGGACUGUUCUAGGUCAGAAGCAGGUGAGUUAACUAGGACUCUUCAGCUUCACAGACACAAGUUAGGGGAGGUUUCUUUCAGUGUAAGAAUGAUGUACAAGAAGCAAAACUCAGGGAAACGUUGAAUAAAACCAGAUUUGACAAGGUUGCUCAUUCCAUGUCGUGGGUACUCGUAGAAAACUUUUUUGCCUGAUUUUGUGGGUACAACAAGGGGUGCAGUUUUUUUGCCGUUUUUUUGUUUUGGUUUUUUUUUUUUUUUUUGAGAUGAAAACUCAAAUGAAUACAAAUAAAAGCUCAUGAGGACUAUUAAAUAAACAAAUAUACCCUUUGGCUGUGCAAGUCCUGAUUUUGAAAUUUCUGUGACCUUAGGGAAUACUGCGGUGAGGCAGCACUACACACUGAGCGCUGACUCUGUCCUAACUACUUUUUUCAAGUGGUUGCUACCAGGUAGUGUCAGAAGACUGUGGCUGAUAACAGAGAGGGGCAAAAGCUGUGCUUGAUUUCAUCAAAUAUGACUAUUUCUAUGUGGGUUUGUAGGGGUUUAGCUGAACUUUCGCUCCUUCCUGUGCUUCCGCAUUGUAAUGGCAUUUGAAUUUGUUUAAAUUACCAGAAGAUGUGAUCUCAUAUGUCCGUGCUCCUUAUCUGCUCAGAUCUUUUGCUGAUAAGGUUGUUCUUUGGAGCUGCAUCCGGGAGCCUUUCCAGGCAGAGCCAGGCUGGUGACCCAGUGAGGUGCUGAAGUGAAACCAACAACUCCCAUCCUUCUCCUUUGGAAACAGCGGAUGUCCACAAGGGACCUGGAUAUUAUAUCAACAGGAUAUCAUGGGAAAACAAAAGAAGGCUGUAACCAGCAUGUGGACAAUGUAUCUUUAUCAUUUCCAAUUAAGGAGCUCACAGGAGUUCUGUGGAGUGGUGUCCUGUCCCCUGCCACCCCGUGGCAUCUUUAGUCUGCACAACAACAGAUUUUCAGCUCUUCUUCACUGAUUAGAUUUGAGCUCUGUUUUUGUACAAAUGUUUUGUAACUUGGUCUGUUGGCCAUGGACAACCAGCUGCAACAUUAAAGGAGUAAUUUUAA